rnacentral:piRNA from 1 species
UAGUGAUGUGUUCGUUGGUAAGAGGGA